GGCUUUCUAACAACAAACAUGGAGUACAGUAAUCUGGUUGUGUGGAUAUUGAAACUUGAGGGUGGCGCAGAAAAGCGAUAUUCUACCUAUAUAUUGUUUCCGGGCAUGCCACGUAUUCAAUUUGAUCUUGGCGCCACAUAACAGAAUUUAGCUUGAGCUUGCAUACAACAAGUAGAAUGGCUCUGAAACUUGUAAAUCUAGGGUUUCACUCAUCGAUCCCGUGUUCUCCGAGGCCCUUGAAAGAUCGGUUCGUGGUUCGGUGCUCUAAAGUGGAACAAAUAUCGUUUACUGAAUCUGAAAACUCACUCAUCGAAGCCCUUCUUGGCAUUCAAGGACGCGGACGUUCUUCUUCUCCUCAGCAGCUCAACGCUUUCAGGCGUGCUGUUCAAGUCCUGGAACGUUUAGGGGGUGUACCUGAUCCGACAAACUCAAAUUUGAUCGAGGGUCGCUGGCAGCUAAUUUUCACCACAAGACCUGGAACUGCAUCGCCCAUUCAAACCUUUGUCGGGGUUGUUUUUUUAGUGUAUUUCAAGAGAUUUAUCUUCGAACAAAUGAUCCACGCGUAUGCAAUAUUGUGUCAUUUUCUGAUGCUAUUGGUGAGCUCAAAGUGGAGGCAGCAGCAUCAAUUGAAGAUGGAAAAAGAAUCCUUUUUAGGUUUGACAGAGCUGCUUUUUCUUUUAAAUUUCUUCCAUUUAAAGUUCCGUAUCCAGUUCCAUUUAGGCUACUGGGAGAUGAAGCAAAGGGUUGGUUAGACACCACAUAUUUGUCGAGUUCAGGAAACCUUCAUAUCUCAAAAGGAAAUAAGGGAACCACAUUUGUGUUACAGAAGCAAACUGAACCUAGGCAAAGGUUAUUGACAGCUAUUUCCUCAGGGAAGGGUAUUAAAGAGGCAAUAGAUGAACUUAUUUCCUUAAAGCAGAAUAUUGGCCAAGAACCAGAACUAGAAGACGGUGAGUGGCAGAUGAUGUGGAAUUCACAGACUGUGACGGAUAGUUGGAUAGAGAAUGCUGUCAAUGGGCUGAUGGGCAAGCAGAUUAUCAGGAAGAAUGGAGGAAUAAAGUUUCUGGUUGAUAUCUUGCUUGGGCUUAAGUUCUCCAUGAGUGGAAAUUUUGUAAAAACUGGCUCCGGAGUGUAUGACGUUACAAUGGAUGAUGCAGCCAUAAUUGGUGGUCCAUUCGGAUAUCCCCUAGAACUGAAAAACAACUUCAUAUUGGAGCUUCUAUACAGUGACGAGAAGCUCAGAGUUAGCCGGGGAAUCAAUAAUGUUAUUUUCGUACAUGUUCGUACAGAUGCAUUGAGGUGACCUAAUAUAUAUGUGAUUGUUUAGAAAGAAUAGAAGAAAUCGUUGCGGGUGAAAAUUUGUGAUCAAUUGUGUACAUGGAUGUACUACUUGUUCAGCUUCCAGUUCAAGUUGGUUUAUUCAAUCUUCCAUAGUCUUUCAAUCUGAGAGAACUGUUCAUAAAAAAUGAUGUUUCAAAGAAUUAUAUUCUGCAUUUCGAGGAAUUAUAAUACAAAAACUAUACUAAACUUUUUACCUAUUAUAAUUAUAAUUUAUGAUUGAUUAUUAA